rnacentral:lncRNA from 1 species
GAUAUCUAGUCGUCGACCACUUCCGAGGUAAGUUUUAAGUGAUUAAACGUUGAGUAAAUUCAAUCAUAAUAGGACAUGAUGAGUUGAUUUAAUAAGAUAUGAUGUGGCCAUGAUAUGUUCUAAGCUCAAAUGGUAAGUUCUUAAGUGUUUGAGCUUGGGAAUUUAAGUGUAAAUUGAAAUAGUCUGCUUAGGACAGCAGCAGUAACGUGACUUUAGAAGAUCACCAUAAAUUUAUGGACUUGAAUUAGAGGCUGAAUGAAACAUGAAAUUAAAGCUUAAUGAGUCUAGUUUCUUAUAAAAGAAACCGUGUAAGCAAAGGAAUUUCCGAUAAUGAGAUAUUUAAAGUUGUGUGAGACAGUGCAGAAUGACACUGUCAUCCUCUGUUCUGUUUUUAGAUAAUCAUUAUAAAUUGUACAAAAAUUUUUAAAAGACAAUUUAUAUUCUAGAUGCCUUAGUGAGUCUAGUUUCAAAUGAAAUAAACUAGAACAUAUUUUGAAUUUUUUACAAUGAGAAAUUUGAUUCGUAGUGAAGAGUGGUCAGCAUAGUCAAAUGGUGAAAUAGGGGAAACUUUAAGAAAAAUCUGGCAUUGAUUGGCCAAACCAAAAAUUCUGAAAAUUUGUUGGAUAAAAUAUGUAUGAGUCUAUUUUCAGGGAAAAUUAACGGCACUUCAUUUGGAGUUUCGUAGCUCCAUUUACGAAUAAUUUAAUAACUGUUGCUCAGGAAAAACAGCUUGUGCUGAAUUUGUGAUUAUGUUGUAAACCUUAAUAAAACUAUUUGAGUUGCUUAUAAGCUAUCGAUUAAAUAUUGGUAAUCAAAGUACCAAAUCCGUAUUAAAUUGAAGCUGUAAGCCGUAAAUGACUAGUAUACCUAGUCAAUUUUGUUAUGAUGAAAUUGAUGUACAAGAUAUGUAUAUGUGAUAAGGCCGAAUGGCCAAUGUGAUGAAUGUGAAAGUGUAUAUAUGUGAUAAGGCCGAAUGGCCAAUGUGAUGAAUGUGAAAGUGUAUAUAUGUGAUAAGGCCGGGUGGCCAACGUGAUGAAUGUGAAAGUGUGUAUAUGUGAUAAGGCCUAAUGGCCAAUGUGAUGAAUGUGAAAGUGUAUAUAUUUGAUAAGGCCGAAUGGCCAAUGUGAUGAAUGUGAAAGUGUAUAUAUGAUAUAAGACCUAAUGGCUAUUGUGAUGGAUGUGAAAGUGUAUAAAUGUGAUAAGUCCCGAAGGGCAUUUGUAUCCGUACUAUAUCCAAGUUAAAACCCCGCAGGCUUUAUGCGAGAAUAUUAUCCUGAUUAAUGUCCGUAGGCUUCGUGCUCGUACUAUAUCCGAGCUUUAAAGACCUGACGGCUAAAUGCUAGGAUUCAAGUAAGACUUUGAUAUUGAGUAUCUGCAAUGAGUUACCAUCAAAUAAGUAUUAUGUAUUUAAGAUGUUCAGGUACGUAUUACUUACUCAUCGGUGGAGUGAUUUCGAGGUGAAUUAUCAGUAUCAAAGAGGUAGGUAAAUGUGAUUAAUAUUAUAACUCCAAAUAGGAGAAUGAUCUAAUUGGUAAUGGUAUGCUUGUAUAAUGAAGUAUGCGAUGAAAUAUUCUUAUGUAUUAGUGCAUAUUCUGCCCAAAAGCCUUAUGAUUUGAGUAUGGGUUGGGUUUAGCUAGAUGUGCCAGUACAAGGUAAAGAUUAUGUUUUGUAAGCUUACGUAUAUGUGAUAAAGAAUAUGUUUGGUUCUUUAUGUGCCUACAGUAAUUUAGUACUUGUCAUGUUGAAAUACUUAAAAAUAUGGAUGUGAUUAUGAACAAGUGGAAAGGAUUAUUGAAAGUUGAAAAUUGAUGAAGAAUGUGCUUUGGAAAUAUUUGACCAUCUAGGUCAUUAUUAUUCAAAAGUGUAUAUGUGACAGCCAAGUGAUGCGUUUAUUGAUAUUAUAGUUUGAGAUGAAGCUCUAGAUUAACUUCAUCGAACAGUUGAAAUGAAUGACCAAUAAUAGUGAAUGAGAACACUUUGUUUUGCUUAAAACUUACUAAGCUUACAAAAGCUUACUCUGUUCGAUCAUGUUUUGGUUUAUAGGUUGUGGAUUCUGACUACCAGUUCGGGGAUCAUCAGCACUUCGUCACACUAUCUACCAUUACGGCAACUAUGUAAUUAGACUUAGCUUAUGGCAUGUAUAGGAUAGACAAUAUGGUAGAAUGAUAUUUUGACUAUUGUAUAUAAGCCAUAUGAAAAUGGCAUCUUUUGAAUGUUUACUUAUAGAAGUUUACAUUUUAUCCCUGGCUGUGUUUAGUGU